rnacentral:rRNA from 1 species
CCCUACGGGGCGUAGCAGUAGGGAAUCUUCCACAAUGGACGAAAGUCUGAUGGAGCAACGCCGCGUGAGUGAAGAAGGGUUUCGGCUCGUAAAGCUCUGUUGGUAGUGAAGAAAGAUAGAGGUAGUAACUGGCCUUUAUUUGACGGUAAUUACUUAGAAAGUCACGGCUAACUACGUGCCAGCAGCCGCGGUAAUACGGAGGUGGCAAGCGUUGUCCGGAUUUAUUGGGCGUAAAGCGAGUGCAGGCGGGUUAAUAAAUAUG